GAAAAAGAAAGAAAGGAUAAAACGAAACAGAGAGCAGGGGAAAGAAAGAAGGAAGGAAAAAUGGGAAAAUUUGGAUUUCAAGGCUUGAAAGUUAAAUAGGUAUGUCAAAUUAGCCCUUUUUACUUGAUUUUGAUGUUUUAGAAACUUUAGAACAAGGUUUUGAUGAAGUUAAGUUGAUAUAUUAUAAGAUAGUUGAUCAUAAGACAUUGUUCUUGUUGAACAAAAAGAUGAAUUAAGGGCUAAAUUGAUAGAAAUUCAAGUUAGAAAUGAAAUAAGGAUUGAAUUGUAAAGUAAUUCAUAAGUUUUGAAUAGUAGGGACUAAAUUGAAGAAUUUUGAAAUCAUAGUUUAUGAUGAAAUUAGAGAGCUGAAAUAAGUUUGAAGUGGAAAUUAAAUGAAAAUAUUGAGUUAAAUAUGAAAAAUAAAAGUUAUUCUCGAUUUAAGGACUAAAUUGGAAUUUAGGAAAAAGUUGGAUAAAACUUGAAAUAUUUAAUGUGAAAAUUGAAUGUUAGUGUAUUGAUAUUUAAUUAUUUUAAUUUCCGUAGUUAACGUUGUCUCGGGAAAUCUCGGCUAAGCAAGGAAAUGACAAAGACAAUAGGAGUUAGCUCGGAAAUUACGGUUUGUAUUUCUAUAAUCCGAACUUAAUACUUAAAUUAUUGGAUUUAUUAUUUAAUAUAUAUAUAUAUAUAUAUAGUAGAUGUUUUGAGAUGAUUAUUUGAAUUAGAUUGAAUAUUGAUUAUAUUGAAUUGAUUUAUGAAUAUAUGUGAAUGUUUGAAUUGAAAUAAAUAUUGAUGUGGAAAUUGAAUAAUAAAUAUUUGUUAUAUUGGAAAAUAUAUGUAGUUGGAAGUGUGAUGAAAUUGAUAGAAAAAUGUGAUUAUUGUGAAAUUGAAUAUUUAUUAGUGAAAAGUGAAUGGAAUUAUAUUGAAUUGAAAAUAUAUAGUUAAUUAAUUAAAAUAUGAAUUAAUUGAAAAUUGAAAAAUGAAUUAAAUAUCCUAUUAACUAAUCGGGCUAGUUGGAUAUAGUUGGCAUGCCAUAGGAUAUGGAAGAGUACAGGUUUUGCCGACUUACUGAUUAGGCACUUAUGUGCUGACUACUGUUACUGUUAUCGUUAGUGUUACCGAUUCAACACUUUGUGUGUUGGAUAUUGUUACUGUUACCGUUACUGUUACUGUUUAGAAUUUGUUCCAAUGAGGUACUCUGUGUACCGUACUGCUACUAUUACUGUUAUUGUUACUGUUCUGGCUUAAGCCGAUGAGGCACUAUGUGCCGUACUGAUGUGUUGGUUGGAUCCGUGUAUCCGUCUAGGUCCAAGUCAUGUUAAUAGGGGUAAAUAAAGGAACUAGAAAGAUCGACUAUUACUGAAUAAUUUAAUUGUUACUGUAUAUCUGAUUUUAUUGAAUAAUUGACUGUUACUGGAUAAUUGAUCAAUUGAUUGAUACUGAAUAACUGAUUAUUAUUGAAUAAUUGAUUGUUACCGAAUAAUUGACUGUUACUGAAUAAAUAAUUGUUCUAAUUGACUGAUUGUUAAUGAAUAUUACUGAUUGAUUAAUUGCUAUUGAAAAAUAAUAAAUGAUUUUGAAUUUAAAGUAGGCCAAAACAUUGGUUGGAAAGUGAAUGUUUGAAUACUCAUUGAGUUUGAAUAGUUCAAUAUAUAUAAAUUAAUAUGUUUUAUAAUUGUUUAAGUGUUCAGAUUAUAGAAAUACCACUGAGCGUAUACUCAGCAUACGGUUUGUUUCCAUGCGCAGGUUAAGUUAAGGCUAGAUCAUUGAAUCAGCAUCCCAGGCCGAUCCCGAAUUUGAUGAGGUAAAGCAUGUUGAGUAUUGGUAAUGGCAUGUACCUAGGACGUCUUAUGAGAGUCAUCUAGGUUGUGAAAGUAUUGAUGAAAUAAGUAAAUUAUGGUUGGCAAUAGUAUAUAGUAUGAAGUUGAAAUAAUUGAUAAAGUAAGUGAUAUACUUAAAAAGAUUCAUUGGAUAGGU
rnacentral:lncRNA from 1 species